GGGGCGGUAGCUCAGCGGGUUAGAGCAGUCGACUCAUAAUCGAUCGGUCACGGGUUCGAGUCCCGUCCGCCCCACCG
rnacentral:tRNA from 2 species